AAGGGGCUGAUCCUCACCUCGUGCAACCGCAGUAGCAUGAUGCCAGAAUUUUUUAACUCCCCAGCAGACUGGUCUUGAUUCAACUCCAAGCGUUAAGGACCACGUCUGCGAUGGCUCAACAGUGCCUGGCACAGAACAGCCACUGCGUGUUCAAAACAAGUAAAGAAAACUACCCUGAUAAUGAAAGCGUUACUGCUAUUAUGUUGCUGCUAAUCCAGUUUUGGGAAAGCUCCACAUUGCCAGACUCAGUCUUUUGUUGCAGAUCUGCAGAUAAUUGAUGGCCGGUUCAUUAUGCACUGUCUUCUAGAUCCAGAAAUAAGAUAUGAUGCAACAGAUUUCACAUGAGACCAAAAUCCAAAGAACCUGGAUAACCAACAUUGGAAAUAUGGUUUCUUGGGCAUUGACCCUGGAUGGAUCAAUCCGUUUAUUCUGUCUCCUGUAGUGAUUACUCCAGGGAAGAACUGACAAGUCAAGCCAGUCAGGGGAUUAUAGGAAGCCAUCCUGAAUUCAAAAGGGAAGAGCCAGCCUGAAAAUUUGCCAAAGCAAGUAAAAGGACCCUGGACAUAAAAAGAUUCCAAGACCUGGCCACAGUGUAUGAGUCCUGAUCAAAACCUCACUGGAAGCCAGCAUCUCCACUCCUAUUAUUUAAUUAUAUUAGCCAAUAAAUUACC